rnacentral:rRNA from 1 species
AACACAUGCAAGUCGAACGAGACUUCGGGUCUAGUGGCGCACGGGUGCGUAACGCGUGGGAAUCUGCCCUUUGCUUCGGAAUAACAGUUAGAAAUGACUGCUAAUACCGGAUGAUGUCUUCGGACCAAAGACUUAUCGGCAAAGGAUGAGCCCGCGUACGAUUAGGUAGUUGGUGGGGUAAAGGCCUACCAAGCCGACGAUCCUUAGCUGGUCUGAGAGGAUGAUCAGCCACACUGGGACUGAGACACGGCCCAGACUCCUACGGGAGGCAGCAUUUGGGAAUAGUGGACAAUGGGCGCAUGCCUGAUCCAGCAAUGCCGCGUGAGUGAUGAAGGCCUUCGGUUCGUAAAGCUCUUUUACCAGGGAUGAUAAUGACAGUACCUGGAGAAUAAGCUCCGGCUAACUCCGUGCCAGCAGCCGCGGUAAUACGGAGGGAGCUAGCGUUGUUCGGAAUUACUGGGCGUAAAGAGUACGUAGGCGGCUAUUCAAGUCAGAGGUGAAAGCCCUGGGGCUCAACCCGCGGAACUGCCUUUGAAACUAGGUGGCUAGAAUCUUGGAGAGGUCAGUGGAAUUCCGAGUGUAGAGGUGAAAUUCGUAGAUAUUCGGAAGAACACCAGUGGCGAAGGCGACUGACUGGA